rnacentral:miRNA from 1 species
AGGUUGUCCGUGGUGAGUUCG